AUCUCCUCCUGCUGAUCCAUGAUUCAUCAAUACCGCAGUGACAGGGAGCACACACAGGCACAGUAGGGGAGAGGUUGGCAACUGGCCAGUGAGCGAGAGCUGAGUUGAAUGCACAGCGGAAAGGUGGUCCUGGGCUGCCGGUUUCCAAGGAUAAUAAAAACUACCUCCCCCGCUCGCUGCUACGCCCACCCGGCGCUCUGUGCCCUCCUCCCCGUGUUUAUUUAUACGCUCCCAGCUACCACUCUUCACAAAGCGAUAGCCGGAGGAAGAAGAAGAAGCAACAGCAGCAGUCAAGCCAACCCGUCCGGCGAGCAAGAAGCAACCGAGGCAGCAAAAGGAGGAGGAGGGAGGACUCCACUGUUCGCUUGUAUCGUCUUAUGGGGGAAGAGGAUAUCAGCAACGACAGCAAGAGCAGCUGCGGCUGCGAGGACGGCACGGUGGAGGCUCCGGCGGCUGCGGCGCCGAAGGAGAACGGCCGAGCCGCGGACCCGCGCCUCCAGGCCAUCUCCGACGCCAUCCGCGUCGUCCCGCACUUCCCCAAGCCAGGGAUCAUGUUCAACGACAUCACGGCGCUGCUGCUCCGGCCCGCCGCGUUCAAGGACGCCGUGGACAUGUUCGUCGAGCGCUACCGCGGCAUGCGCAUCGCGGCCGUCGCAGGUAUUGAAGCCAGAGGAUUCAUAUUUGGCCCAGCGAUCGCACUAGCAAUUGGAGCAAAAUUCAUACCGUUGCGCAAACCUAAGAAACUCCCAGGUGAGGUAAUUUCUGAGACCUAUAUACUUGAGUAUGGGACGGAUUGUUUGGAGAUGCAUGUUGGAGCUACUGAACCUGGUGAGCGCGUAGUGGUCGUUGAUGAUUUAGUUGCAACCGGUGGAACACUUUGUGCUGCAAUAAAACUUCUUGGACGUGAAGCUGAAUAUCAUGGAUCAUAGUGGAGAAGAUCAUGUAACAUUGUCAAGCAUCAAACAGCUCAGUGAUAAUAUGUAGAGUAGAGGGGCAUCAUGUUCUGUUGACCUUAAGAAAAGUAUGCUCCCCAGUGAGUCAACGGGACAAACUGUUUAUUCAUGGGACAAAAUCCUGUCCGGAAGAUAUGUCCUAUUGGGUGGCUAAUCACCUACAUGCAUGAUAAGACUGGAGGCAUAAUUUUGAUCUUAUCUUACAACCGAAAAGUUCGUGGAUAAGAAUCGAGCAUUCAAGACCCUCCCUUUUCUCUUUUUAUGACACUAAAACAACUAACUAUUCUAGUGUUUACAUCUGUUUAUGCUUAUUGCUCAAACUAUUUGCAUUCCAGAACGAGCUGGAGCUGACGUAGUUGAGUGUGCAUGCCUCAUUGGCCUUCCUAAGUAUAAGAAUUUCUACAAGCUCAAUGGAAAACCAGUUUAUAUACUGGUGGAGUCUCGCAAAUAGAAAGUAACAAAGCAAUGAUCAGAAAGAUUCACAGCUUCAUUCCUUUGCAAGAGCACGUUGGAGGAAUUGGAUCGGUAUUGGUGAGCAGUGACUCUGCACGCAGCACAACUGUUAAUGUAAUCUCGGUGGAGAGAUGAUGAGAUAGAUGAAAUGUAAUCUUUGUAGCACGACUAGUUUUCCAGGUAGUGUCGACGACGAGAGCUUGUAGUUAUUUCUGUCGGGAACUGUUGAUUACCCGGAAGAGAAAGGGAUUAAGGGAAUUGCCAUCCCGCUUGUUCAGUUCCUCUUUUCUUUUCUAGUGACAAUUGUCCUUUUCGCCGCACUUGAUGAUUUAUACUUCUUUGGUAAAA